AUGGCGUCGCCCAGCUCACCGCCCUUGGCCAUCACGUCAUCGCGGGGCUCGUCGCGCAAGCGCACGGCUUCCUCCAAGGCCGCAUCGGAGGCCAACCAGGAGGCCAUGGUCUGCAAGUGCUCCCGCAAGAGCACCGCGUCCGGGAAGAAGAAGUCGGUGCCCAAGGCGACGACGGGAAAGAAGCCGCAUAAUUGCUGCAAGCCACUGUUCAGCAAAUCCAGGUCAUCCCCUCAGUCUUAUCAGAUAUGGCCAAAGCUAGAGGGCUUGGUUGCGAAGGAGAGGGAGAUGCAGGAGAAGCUCAUGGCAAGGCAUGCGACCGUGGUUGACAGCUUUGAGAAGAAGCAGCGUAGGCAAGAAUCCUGA
rnacentral:rRNA from 1 species